rnacentral:lncRNA from 10 species
CAUGCAACGAUUUUUCAAAUUUUUGGAAGGGGGUGGAAAGAGUCAGGAAUGCUGUUUCUUCAACAUAAAACUUGUAUUUGUAAUCUCCGUGUAGUGUGAUUCGAAGAGCGUCUUGGAUUGAAUCAGGCCACUGCCCUGGUCUGCAGGAAGAAUGAAGACAGAUAGAAGGCUUUCCAGGAACUGCAGUAGACAAGGAGCUUUCAGUUUGGCUUUGUGUAAAUCAAAAUCAUGAUGAGUCAACAUCAAGUUUAACCCUUAGAGUCCUGAUGACUUGGGUGCGAGACUACCAGUGGCCUUUCUUUCACUUUGGCCCGGGGUGGCUGGAGUUCUGCGCUGCCCUGUGUACCUAGGCCACUCCACUCAACUGUUUUGACCUUUGCCCUUCUCACUAAGUCUUCGUCCAUUUCUGUAACUGGAGGCUGAAAAGGGCAUAUGCAAGAAAAUGUCUGGCAGGAAAGAAUGAUGUCCCUCUUUCCAAAGUCAGGUGUCCUUCCAUCCAUUUAGAGACACCUUCCUGAGUCCAAAAGGGACACAGACACCAGCAUAUUCCAAGGGCUUAGCUAAAAGUGCUGGUCCCUUAGACAAAAAUCUCACAAAGAGUCCUCUAAGCAAAACCUCACACCACUGCAAAACAAAGAAAAAGGAGAAGUUGAAAACAGGGAAUUUCCCUCCCGAUUCUGGAUCAGUGGCCCCCAACCAGGGGCAAUUUUACAUCCCAGGGGACAUUCGGCAAUAUGGAGAGAUAUUUUUGGUUGUCAUGACUGAAGCGGGGGCAUGCUUCUGGAAUGCAGUGAGUAGAGGCUGGGGAUGCUGCUGUUAAUACAAUGCACACGACCGCCCCCACAACAAAGACUUACUCUACUCAAGAUGACAACAGCGCCAAAGGUGCUGUGAGGAAUACCAACCAACAAACCAAAGGCCUGCUCUUAG